UUCGGGGCAGCGGUGACAGGUGGUGCAUGGUUGUCGUCAGCUCGUGUCGUGAGAUGUUGGGUUAAGUCCCGCAACGAGCGCAACCCUUAUCUUUAGUUGCCAGCAUUCAGUUGGGCACUCUAGAGAGACUGCCGUCGACAAGACGGAGGAAGGCGGGGAUGACGUCAAAUCAUCAUGCCCCUUAUGACCUGGGCUACACACGUGCUACAAUGGUUGGUACAACGGGAUGCUACCUCGCGAGAGGACGCCAAUCUCUUAAAACCAAUCUCAGUUCGGAUUGUAGGCUGCAACUCGCCUACAUGAAGUCGGAAUCGCUAGUAAUCGCGGAUCAGCAUGCCGCGGUGAAUACGUUCCCGGGUCUUGUACACACC
rnacentral:rRNA from 1 species